rnacentral:rRNA from 1 species
GGCGGCACGCCUAACACAUGCAAGUCGAACGAAGUAGCAAUACUUAGUGGCAGACGGGUGAGUAACAUGUAGGUAUCUGCCCUUUGGCCUGGAAUAACACGAGGAAACUUGUGCUAAUACCGGAUAAGUCUUUACGGAGAAAGCUUUAUGCACCAUUGGAUGAGCCUGCACUUGAUUAGUUUGUUGGUGGGGUAAUGGCCUACCAAGACUUUGAUCAAUAGCUGAUUUGAGAGGAUGAUCAGCCACAUUGGGACUGAGACACGGCCCAAACUCCUACGGGAGGCAGCAGUGGGGAAUCUUGCACAAUGGAGGAAACUCUGAUGCAGCGAUGCCGCGUGAGUGAAGAAGGCCCUUGGGUUGUAAAGCUCUUUCGUCGGGGAAGAAAAUGACUGUACCCGAAUAAGAAGGUCCGGCUAACUUCGUGCCAGCAGCCGCGGUAAUACGAAGGGACCUAGCGUAGUUCGGAAUUACUGGGCUUAAAGAGUUCGUAGGUGGUUGAAAAAGUUGGUGGUGAAAUCCCAGAGCUUAACUCUGGAACUGCCAUCAAAACUUUUCAGCUAGAGUUUGAUAGAGGAAAGCAGAAUUUCUAGUGUAGAGGUGAAAUUCGUAGAUAUUAGAAAGAAUACCAAUUGCGAAGGCAGCUUUCUGGAUCAUUACUGACACUGAGGAACGAAAGCAUGGGUAGCGAAGAGGAUUAGAUACCCUCGUAGUCCAUGCCGUAAACGAUGUGUGUUAGACGUUGGAAAUUUAUUUUCAGUGUCGCAGCGAAAGCGAUAAACACACCGCCUGGGGAGUACGACCGC